GUAGCGUCCAGCAGAAGUCCAUCAAACGUCAGGACCUGCAUUUCUGGCUGGACCUCAAUAACCACUGCAAUGUCACCAGCUCUCCUUGGACCAGCAAAUGAACCCCAGACUACAUAUGGCAGGGUAUGAGCAGAAAGUCCUUGUGAAGCAACUCAGACAAUGCUGGAGCACAUAUGGAAAGAAAGCCUGGAGCUGUGUGCAGAAGAGGCAUGGAAAAUCAGAGGACGUUUUCCAAGAUUAGAUAGAAGCUGGUGGAGCAACACGUUAUUAACCUUGGGUGUGCCUCCCUGCUUUAGGCUCUCCUUGUCCAAGCUGGAGGUGCCGUUCUGUCUGAUCACGUCUCCCCUUUGUUCAUGCCUUGCCCCUUGACAGAAAAGCUGCUUCUUUCACUGGCUCGCAAAAGUGAGAUAAAAUUACACACGGGUUGCAGACAACUGGGAACACAGAGGGUGCUGCUGUAAACUGCUGGCUCCCUUUGGCAGGAAGCAAAUAUUUUGUACUUCCCAACAUGGCAUUGAUGCCUCCACCUGAAAACAGUAUUAGAGUUAAAAAAAAUUAAAAACUUUGUGCUGACCUGCACCAGGCCAGUAUGCCCCAGGCUGUUGGAAGGAGGUGGCCAAAGCUGCUAAAUGUGAGAGAUUUGCUGGGAAAAGAUGCUCUCAGCAGAGACACAUCCCUCAGCACACCUUGCUUCCCACAGCAAGACCUUGCAGACCUGACCAUCCCUGGACAUUUUUCUGUACAUUUCUAAAGCCUUUUUGCUUUUCUGUGUUAAGACUGCAGCCCAUUCCCAUGCAGAAAAUAAGGCAAAUAAAAUACUCAUGUGCCAUUUGACUGCAGCAUGUGGCCUGUCCCAGCAGCAACAGCUCAUCCCCACUGCCUGGGGAUAAGGGGAUGACGUGGAGAUGUUGCAUC